rnacentral:rRNA from 1 species
GACGAACGCUGGCGGCGUGCUUAACACAUGCAAGUCGAACGGUAAGGCCCUUCGGGGUACACGAGUGGCGAACGGGUGAGUAACACGUGGGUGAUCUGCCCUGCACUUCGGGAUAAGCCUGGGAAACUGGGUCUAAUACCGGAUAGGACCCUGGGAUGCAUGUCCUGGGGUGGAAAGCUUUUGCGGUGUGGGAUGGGCCCGCGGCCUAUCAGCUUGUUGGUGAGGUGAUGGCCUACCAAGGCGACGACGGGUAGCCGGCCUGAGAGGGUGACCGGCCACACUGGGACUGAGAUACGGCCCAGACUCCUACGGGAGGCAGCAGUGGGGAAUAUUGCACAAUGGGCGCAAGCCUGAUGCAGCGACGCCGCGUGAGGGAUGACGGCCUUCGGGUUGUAAACCUCUUUCAGCACCGACGAAGCGCAAGUGACGGUAGGUGCAGAAGAAGGACCGGCCAACUACGUGCCAGCAGCCGCCGUAAUAC